GGAGACAACUGAUGUACUGCUGUCUCCUCCGCUGUAUAUAUAAUUGAUCCCCCCGGUUCCGUUUUCUCUGUUGGAAGGAGAAAAGAUCUGUCGAAUUUUACAACCCUUGAAUUACAAAGAUGGCGACUGGUGGAAAGGUCUCCUUCAAAGUUACUCUCACUUCAGAUCCAAAGCUCCCUUUCAAAGUAUUUAGCGUGCCAGAGGCAGCUCCAUUCACCGCUGUUCUGAAAUUCGCGGCCGAGGAAUUCAAGGUCCCUCCCCAAACCAGCGCCAUCAUCACCAACGAUGGGGUUGGAAUUAAUCCUCAGCAAAGUGCAGAACGUGGGGAUAAAAUAGCUAUUGCGGCGGAAUCGGUCAACAGGCAGUUGCUGCACUAUCCCAUUUCCUCCAUUAUCUUUAGUUGCUUAAAAGUAGGAGUUUGCGGUUGUAUUUUUAUAUAUUUAAACCAUUCCCAAGCAGCAAGGAAAGCAGACAAUUAUUGAAUCUAAAAUUUUGUGGUUUAUUCUCACCCGAAGAGAAUUUCUUUAUUAAUUUUCUUUUGGCUUCUGAUCGGGACCUAUCAAAAAGCGCCCUUGUUUUUCUUUCCAGAGGCGGCGAAAAGGUUUUACAUAAAUGCACACGUGUACGUGUAUAUAUAUAUAUAUAUAUCUCUUCAACCACUGUUUCUUCUUUAAAGCGCUCCCUUCUCUUUCUUGUUCUCUCUUCUUGAACGGACACAGCCUCUGUAGAGGUUUCUUGUUCUCUCUUCUUGCACGGACACACAGCCUGCCUAUGUUCUCUUCUCGAGCCUGGUUAUCCUCGAUCUGUUCUUUCAGAAGCGCAGAUUCUCUGAAUCCUACUUUCAGACAUUGUUGCCUGAGUGGAAAAAGAUUCAAGAAAA